rnacentral:rRNA from 1 species
UACGUAGGGGGCUAGCGUUGUCCGGAAUCAUUGGGCGUAAAGCGCGUGUAGGCGGCCACCGCAAGUCAGUUGUGAAAUCUCUGGGCUUAACCCAGAAAGGUCAACUGAUACUGCGGGGCUAGAGUGCAGAAGGGGCAACUGGAAUUCUCGGUGUAGCGGUGAAAUGCGUAGAUAUCGAGAGGAACACCUGCGGCGAAGGCGGGUUGCUGGGCUGACACUGACGCUGAACUGCGAAAGCUAGGGGAGCGAACGGG